rnacentral:rRNA from 1 species
GUAACGCGUGGGAAUCUGCCCUUAGGUUCGGAAUAACAGUUGGAAACGACUGCUAAUACCGGAUGAUGACGUUAAGUCCAAAGAUUUAUCGCCUAGGGAUGAGCCCGCGUAGGAUUAGCUAGUUGGUGUGGUAAGAGCGCACCAAGGCGACGAUCCUUAGCUGGUCUGAGAGGAUGAUCAGCCACACUGGGACUGAGACACGGCCCAGACUCCUACGGGACGCAGCAGA